rnacentral:snRNA from 1 species
GAUCAAAGUGUAGUAUCUGUUCUUAUCAGCUUAAUAUCUGAUACGACCUUCAACGAAGGUCAAGAUAUUAAACUUGUUUUUGAAAUGGGGCGGAGAGCUUGAAGCUUGCUUCACCUCUGCCACGGGUUGAC